rnacentral:rRNA from 1 species
UACGUAGGUGGCAAGCGUUGUCCGGAUUUACUGGGCGUAAAGAGCGCGCAGGCGGUCGUUCAAGUCGCGUGUGAAAGCCCCCGGCUCAACUGGGGAGGGUCACGCGAUACUGAUCGACUCGAAGGCAGGAGAGGGAAGUGGAAUUCCCGGUGUAGCGGUGAAAUGCGUAGAUAUCAGGAGGAACACCGGUGGUGUAGACGGCUUUCUGGACCGUAACUGACGCUGAGACACGAAAGCGUGGGUAGCAAACAGG